rnacentral:rRNA from 1 species
CAUGCAAGUCGAACGGAAAGUGCUCAGCUUGCUGGGUGACUCGAGUGGCGAACGGGUGAGUAACACGUGGGUGAUCUGCCCUGCACUUUGGGAUAAGCCUGGGAAACUGGGUCUAAUACCGAAUACACCCUGCUGGUCGCAUGGCCUGGUGGGGGAAAGCUUUUGCGGUGUGGGAUGGGCCCGCGGCCUAUCAGCUUGUUGGUGGGGUGAUGGCCUACCAAGGCGACGACGGGUAGCCGGCCUGAGAGGGUGUCCGGCCACACUGGGACUGAGAUACGGCCCAGACUCCUACGGGAGGCAGCAGUGGGGAAUAUUGCACAAUGGGCGCAAGCCUGAUGCAGCGACGCCGCGUGAGGGAUGACGGCCUUCGGGUUGUAAACCUCUUUCAAUAGGGACGAAGCGUAAGUGACGGUACCUAUAGAAGAAGCACCGGCCAACUACGUGCCAGCAGCCGCGGUAAUACGUAGGGUGCGAGCGUUGUCCGGAAUUACUGGGCGUAAAGGGCUCGUAGGUGGUUUGUCGCGUUGUUCGUGAAAACUCACA